UGCACCGUUUAUUUUUAAGGAAAAGAGAC
rnacentral:piRNA from 1 species